UUGCAUCAUGAUUUACAUUUGAGUGAGUGGCGAACUGGUGAGUAACACGUGGGAAACCUGCCCAGAAGCGGGGGAUAACACCUGGAAACAGAUGCUAAUACCGCAUAACAACUUGGACCGCAUGGUCCGAGUUUGAAAGAUGGCUUCGGCUAUCACUUUUGGAUGGUCCCGCGGCGUAUUAGCUAGAUGGUGAGGUAACGGCUCACCAUGGCAAUGAUACGUAGCCGACCUGAGAGGGUAAUCGGCCACAUUGGGACUGAGACACGGCCCAAACUCCUACGGGAGGCAGCAGUAGGGAAUCUUCCACAAUGGACGAAAGUCUGAUGGAGCAACGCCGCGUGAGUGAAGAAGGGUUUCGGCUCGUAAAACUCUGUUGUUAAAGAAGAACAUAUCUGAGAGUAACUGUUCAGGUAUUGACGGUAUUUAACCAGAAAGCCACGGCUAACUACGUGCCAGCAGCCGCGGUAAUACGUAGGUGGCAAGCGUUGUCCGGAUUUAUUGGGCGUAAAGCGAGCGCAGGCGGUUUUUUAAGUCUGAUGUGAAAGCCUUCGGCUCAACCGAAGAAGUGCAUCGGAAACUGGGGAACUUGAGUGCAGAAGAGGACAGUGGAACUCCAUGUGUAGCGGUGAAAUGCGUAGAUAUAUGGAAGAACACCAGUGGCGAAGGCGGCUGUCUGGUCUGUAACUGACGCUGAGGCUCGAAAGUAUGGGUAGCAAACAGGGAUUAGAUACCCUGGUAGUUCCAUACCGUAAAC
rnacentral:rRNA from 1 species